GCGGCGAUAGCUCAGUGGGUAAAGCGCCAAGAUGUUGAUUACUUCGAGAGCUAUUAUCGCGCGGGUUCGAAUCCCGCCUGUGACA